AUUGAACGCUGGCGGCAGGCCUAACACAUGCAAGUCGAGCGGAUGAGGGGAGCUUGCUCCUUGAUUCAGCGGCGGACGGGUGAGUAAUGCCUAGGAAUCUGCCUGGUAGUGGGGGAUAACGUUCCGAAAGGAACGCUAAUACCGCAUACGUCCUACGGGAGAAAGCAGGGGACCUUCGGGCCUUGCGCUAUCAGAUGAGCCUAGGUCGGAUUAGCUAGUUGGUGAGGUAAUGGCUCACCAAGGCGACGAUCCGUAACUGGUCUGAGAGGAUGAUCAGUCACACUGGAACUGAGACACGGUCCAGACUCCUACGGGAGGCAGCAGUGGGGAAUAUUGGACAAUGGGCGAAAGCCUGAUCCAGCCAUGCCGCGUGUGUGAAGAAGGUCUUCGGAUUGUAAAGCACUUUAAGUUGGGAGGAAGGGCAGUAAGUUAAUACCUUGCUGUUUUGACGUUACCAACAGAAUAAGCACCGGCUAACUUCGUGC
rnacentral:rRNA from 1 species